CGGUUUGGCUCGAACCGGCAGGCUCACUUCCCAUUCCAAAAAUACACUCCAAUUUUAGGUUUUGCUCUGCGCCUCUGCUCUCUGUCUCAACUCUCAACUCUCGCGUGUCAGUCUCCCAUCCGUCUCCCUGUCCCUUGUCACGCCGCCACCGAGCCGCCGGCUGUCGGGCCACCGCCCUGCCGCCCGGGCGCCCAGCCGCGACCGUGCCCCGCCGCCCUGCCGCGACCGCGCCUCGCCGCCCCGCUGCCCGGGCCCAGCCACCGCACCGCCUCCUCGCCGCCAGCAACGCCCCGUCGCCCCGACGCUCGCGCCGCCCCGCCUCUCUGCCACCAGCGACAGCGAGGCCGUGGACUCCGGCCACUCCAGCAAGGGAGACAGUGGUUCAUGGAUGCAUCCGAGACACCAAUUCCAAUAUCGUUGAGUUUAUUGCUUUGUUUGAUGAAGUCUCAGUUUAAUUAUGCAUGUAUUAGACUGCCUAUUUCAAGUUUUGAGACAGUAGCUAUCAGGCUAUGUGCCUGAUUGAUUUUACUUAAACAAACUUAUGUAUGAGACUAUGUGGCGAUCAGCUAUGUGCUUGUUUGUUUUCACCGGAACUUAUGUAUGAGAAUAAUGAGACAAGUAAAUUAUUGUGUGCACUAUUAUUCAUAUUGGCA